CCAUUUAAAGUGGUACGCGAGCUGGGUUCAGAACGUCGUGAGACAGUUCGGUCCCUAUCUGCCGUGGGCGUUGGAUGAUUGAAGGGAGUUGCUCCUAGUACGAGAGGACCGGAGUGAACGAACCUCUGGUGUUCGGGUUGUCACGCCAGUGGCACUGCCCGGUAGCUAAGUUCGGAAUCGAUAACCGCUGAAAGCAUCUAAGCGGGAAGCGAGCCCUGAGAUGAGUCAUCCCUGACCCCUUGAGGGUCCUAAAGGGCCGUUGGAGACCACAACGUUGAUAGGUGGGGUGUGUAAGCGCGGCGACGUGUUGAGCUAACCCAUACUAAUUACCCGUGAGGCUUAACCAUACAACACCCAAGAAGUGUUCUG
rnacentral:rRNA from 1 species